GGGCGGUUAGCUCAGUUGGUUAGAGCGUCAGUAUCACACACUGAAGGUCGAGGGUUCGAGCCCCCCACCGCCCACCA
rnacentral:tRNA from 1 species